rnacentral:rRNA from 1 species
UAGCCUACGGGAGGCAGCAGUGAGGAAUAUUGGUCAAUGGCCGAGAGGCUGAACCAGCCAAGUCGCGUGAGGGAUGACGGCCCUACGGGUUGUAAACCUCUUUUGUCGGGGAGCAAGACCCGCCACGAGUGGCGGAGCGAGAGUACCCGCAGAAAAAGCAUCGGCUAACUCCGUGCCAGCAGCCGCGGUAAUACGGAGGAUGCGAGCGUUAUCCGGAUUUAUUGGGGUUAAAGGGUGC